rnacentral:lncRNA from 1 species
AUCACUUGAUUAUUUUGCUUACUGUUGAAACAUGGUUUUAAUUUUGUAAAUUUAAUAUGAUGUGAAAUUUACUUUAUUAAUCAUUAGUCAAUAGUUAGAGAGAAGCUGAAUCUUAAUUAAGCAAUGCUGGAAAUUAACUUUUAAUUCAGUUUGUUAUUUUCACUGGAUUUUAUUGCUAUGUGUUAUUGCUGUAAUGUUACUGUUGUGAUGUUUUGUGUUGAUAGACAGCUUGGCUUACCUUCCCGUUGGCGUCUAUUGUUAAA